CCCUAGGGCUGGUGUUCCCAGGGUGCACUUGGGGUGAGCUGCUGAGGAGCCUCUUCAUUUAAAGACCCCUGUCCCCCACUGCUCAGGCCAACUAAACAAAGCGGCCCAGUGUUUCCCGGCUCUCUGCCCUCUGCCCAGCACACCCCUCUUUCAGGGUCUUCCCUCUCGUCCUUCUCUUGCUCCCCCUUUCCGAACGCUGACCCUAUGGGGGCCUCCAGGCUGUGCUGGUGACUUUGCACAGCCCAGCAUCCGGGUCCCUGUCGGGCCUGGCUGCCCCGCAGCCCUCUCGGGCUCUGUCAGACCCGCUUGCCAGGUCCCCGGGACCCAACUUUGUGCCACCUUCCCACCAGUCCUGCUGGUUGCUGUCAGCCGGGACCGUCUCCUCCACUCCGAGCUCAUGUCCCCAUCCUAGUGUGCCUCCUUGGCACCCCAGGGCGUCCAUGGGGAAAAUGACUGGCCGGGCCCUGGCUCUCUCCCACCUCUCCCCAAAGAGGUCUGCGGCUUUGCCCCUCCAGUGGGGAACCAGAACGUCUGUUUCCAGUGGAUGGAAUAUUGGCCUGGAGGGAUCGGAGGUUUCAUUUCACUUAAUCACAGGCAACACUAAUAUAACUGAGAGCUGAAGACCUAUAGCCCUGUUUGACAGAUGUGACGACUUUCCAGAUGUGUUUAUAAUUUUCACUCUCUUCAAGAGAAGGGAAGAAAGGAGGACAGGAGGAAGAGAGAAGAAAAACAAGCAGUCAAAGAGAAGUGAGGGGAACACAUACAUAGAGCUAACUGCCUCCACCCUACAGAAAUAUGUCUUUAAUUUGGAUUUUCUUGUGUAUUUUGGAUCUUCUAUAGUGUUCUGGCGGCUUUUAAAAAAUUCAAUGGUAUGUUCUGAGAUUUGUCCAUGUUGAUAUAGUGGCUUAGUUUAUUUGUUUUAAGUGCUGUAUAGUAUUCCAAUUGCUUAAGUGAACAAAAGCUUAUCCAAAC
rnacentral:lncRNA from 1 species